AUGUGAACCUCAUUGUUAUUAUGUUUUCAGUUUUCUGUCCCUCCAAAGAACCAUAGCACCUUGAGCUUAGCUGGAACAGGAAGUGAGGAGGAAGAACAGGCCUCUGGCUCAGUGGAUUUUAGCACUCCCCCACAGUUCACUUCCCUCCUGGACAACUCUGCUGCCCGUCACCGUAUGUCCCUCAAACCUAAGAACCAAAGAGCCAGUGCCAAGAACAAGAGGGCGACCACUUCGGCUGGAAGCAGAGCACGAGCUGAGAGUUUAAACAAUCUGGACCAAUCACUGACUACUACGGAGGAAGAAACUCUCGUAAAAGAGAUACCUCGCGUUCGCUCGUAUUCCUCACAGGUCUUACGGGGGGAGAGGCUUACAACUUCACAAAUCAAUAGUCCAGUUCCAGUGUCACCUUUAUUGUCUCUGCAUACUGCUGGAGAUAGUAGAAAGGUUUCUGCUGAACCUGAGCUUGAGAGAAACAUCCUGUCCACAUCACCUCCAAGCCCUAGCCUACGGGAAACGACUCCAGCUGUGUCACCAGUUGCCAAACUGCCAAUCCCAGUGGUGCCAGUUGACAAAAAGGGAAAAGGAGAAGUGAGUGAGAUGCCCAGUAUCUCCAAACUACUCAAGAACAGCCAAAGUACCAUUGCGUCAACUGUAAGCCCAACUGUAAGACCAAGUGUAACUACCACACCAGAAUUGAGUCCUGUGAAGGAUGAGAAAUCUAAUGCUGUGCAAAUAGAAACCAAGACGGACAAAUACAGUGUUCAGAAUGCAGUAAAUUUCGAAAAUCGCCCAGCCUCUGCUUUUGCUCCAACCAAUGUGAUUUGUGGAAUAAAUCUGAGACCAUCAUCUUUGAGGAGAAAUAUACCUUCCACAGAUGAAAAACAAAAAAAAGAGUCUGGGACUCUUCAGCCAGUUAGCACAGCGUUGGCUAUUAGUCAUGAAGAUCACACUCAAACAGAAUCCAUAAAACGCCAGAGAACUGUGUCUGGAUCAUUCCACUUCAGUGUCUCCUCGGAUAAGAAUCAAGAGCGGCCAAGGACUGCAAGCUUCACUGGAGUGGUUGGACAAGCUGGACUAAAAAAAGAGCCUCCAUCUCCUGUCAAACCUCCUUUACAUUUCAAGAUAGAGCGGCAAGUAAGUUCACAAGUUGAGAAAAUGAUAAAAGACACAUGUCCUAACAUGCCACCAACUUCAAAGAAGGAAGACAAAACGGACACUUCUCCAGUGAUGCCAACAAAGUUCACAGAUCUACCAAAAAGUCGCCCUCGGGCCUUGGAUGUGGAGGAGAGUCAGGACAACGAGAAGCAGGAGAUUGGGGUAGAGGCUACUGAAGAAGGAGUACAGGAGGUGGAGGUGGCAGAAGAGGCACGUGAGGAUGUGAUGGAAGACGUGACUGUGGGAAAAGAGAGAGAGGCUACAAAUGCAUUUGGAGUGAAGCUUCGCACUACCUCUCUUUCACUAAAAUUUCGCUUGGACAAAGCUCAAUCAGAAGACAAAGUAAAAUGCCACAGUGUUGAAGUCAGUGCCCCGAUUUCACCUUCGGCCUUACAAUCUGAAUCAACCAGCUAUGUGGAACCUGAAGACCAGUGCAUUGGCUUGGAGUCUACAAGAGUCCAUGCUGAACUCAAAGACCCUCCUCUCCAAACCGAUGCAUCCUCAACUUCAGUUCAUUCCUUCGGUUCACCAUCUAAGAGCUUCUGUAGGGACAAAGAGAGAGCUGGCGUCCUCAGACAGGCUGAACCUGCUCAGCCCUUAUCAUCAGCCAGCAAAUCCACUAAGAUUGUACCUUCACCAGCUAAAGAAGAUGCAGACUUGCCUCCAGAAGAGACAACAGCGGUAUACUCUCAGGGGAACGCACCAACAUUUACAGCUUCAGAGGUGUCCUGGAUGGAGAUGGCCAGAGAGAAGACCAGAAGUCUCCAACAGCUCUUUACCAGUAGGCUGCCUGAGUUUCCUAGCUUGCAAUCACGACCAACAACCUUAACCACAACACAACCACAAAGCCAAACGUCCACUUCACAAACCAAUCCAAGAAUCACACAGACCAUUUCAAGCCAGCCGACGACUACACAACCUCUUUUGAGACCUCCAGAAACAAAACCAUUGCCAUUUGCACAGCAUUCUGGAAGAUCAACACAAUCUACCACUCAGAUGAUGCAAACUCAGACUAAAACAACAACAAGCCAGCCUUCGGCAAAUUCAACUCAGACUACCACUAGUCAAUCUCAAAUUGACAGUGCCAGAGAAGUCCAGUUUCAGUCCAAGUCUCAAAUUUGUAAUUCGACAACAAAACCAACCCAGUCUACAGUUACAUGCACAUCGACCACACAAACCACCACUGUAUACACAGCAAAACAGCCAUCACAAGCGUUGGCACCGCAGACACCACCCAUCCAGCCGUCAUCACCACUGCGAGCAGCAUCACAGACCCCCACACAAGCUAUACUGCGUCCCACACCACCCCCAGGUUACCCACAUCUAUCGUCAAGCCCAAAGUUAACGUCCCACCUAGUGUCCCAACAGUCUGCCAAUACUGUCUCAAAGGAUCAGCCUCAGAAUGAGGAGAGAGAGCCCACUGUAUUCUCAGGGAAAGCUGACAGGGCGUCUGUGUCUCAGGGGAAGGGGACUAGGCCUGAAGAUGGCAGACCAGUGUGGGCAGCAGGAUCAGGAAACAAGACCUCGCUCUUACAGCGCUGGGAGAACCAAACAACUGCGGCAACCAAGACAGGUGAGCAGAAAUCCACAGCAGACUCCCAAACCACAUCUCAAUCUACAGUUCCUCUCAGACCGAUCUCAGAGGUCUCAGGCACAGGAUUCGACUCAGAAGCAUCAGUCUCUUCUGUUCCCACGAUGUCAGCAGACAGAGAGAAUAAAUGGCAGCAGAAAUCAGUGCCACCAUCAUCACCUUCAUCAUCAUCUCCUCUGCAGUCUGUCCGUGACAGUGCCCAACCAUCCUGGAUGGAGCUGGCCAAGAGGAAAUCCCUGGCAUGGAGUGAUAAGACUAUGGACUAAAAAAACAUUUAUAUGCACAUGGAGGAAGAAUUUACAAGUGCAAGAAAGAACUAUUAAGGGGUUGGAUGCUGAGGUUGGAGUAUCUGAGGGCAUUUUCAUGCUACCGUUUCCUAAGUUGCAUCCAAGCAAUUGUACUUGAGUCAGAGGUUUGCUCCAUGUGAACUUCAGUAGACUUUGAAGUUGAUGUUAAAGCAGUGUGUUCUGGAAGUGAACCACUAUUGCUUGUGUAUAUUAUUGAAGGAAAGUUGCACAUUCAUCAGUCAGUAAACCUCCUAAUAGUGUUUGUCUUCUAAAACCUCAUGUGUGCUGCUUACGUUCUCUCCAUGUGAAGUAUGAAUGUAUACACAGGAGAUAAGUACCAACGAAACAAAAAGGAGAAGUUAAUAUUGUGAGCUUUAAAGCCAUGUUCUCUUGCAACUCUGGCUAACAGCUGCUGGUAAUGUAUUUUGUAAAUGCACCACAGUGCAGCACAAUAGAAAACACUGAGAAAGUAGAUCAGAGGUGGAAGGGGAGGGAAACAAAUUCAGGUUCAGACUCAAUCAAAAGCACCCUGAGUGAGAUCUCAGGAACAGAAACAUAUGGUAGCAUAUGUUUUAUGCACUCACGUGUGUAGACACACAACAACAAUAUACAGUAAUUGUCUCCCAUGUAAUAUGUUGCUCAAUGUUUCUCAGGUUUAACACAUUGUAUCAUUGUUUUCUUGUGAAAAUAAUUAAUUUGAUUGUUUCCUUUCCAAUUACAGAUUUGAUUUAUUUCCAUGAAUUCCAUCCGAGAAUUUGUAUGUAUUGUGACAUUGUAUCAUCUGUUGAUUUUCU
ensembl:lncRNA